CUGGGCCGUCGCCUCUUUGUGUCCUCCGGGAGCCCAGGCAACAGAGGAGCUUCUUUCCCUUCCCCCUCCUACCUGGAGGCUAGAUUCUCCAACUUAAGGGCAGCGGGUGUGGCAGCUGGAGUGGAGGAGAUUCCAGAGCCUUCAGAGAAGAAGGGAAGUGUCCGGGGAGUGGCCUGCGUGUCUCUUGGACUCUGGUCGUCCGGCCUACUGGGCGUCCCUGGGAGUAAGAAGUGGUUGGUACAGUUCUGUCACCCGAUGUGCGAGUGAAUCUAUGUCUGGUAACUUUCCCUUUCCCCCUUGUGCACAGUCGUGGAGCCUCAAUGUGACUAGGAUGUAAGACCGUUGUUAGUGAUGCCAGCCUGUGGCACCAGAGCGUCUGAGAUGUGGAGAUUUGGAGCUGUAGGAGAGGGUGAACAUCCAUGGCCUUUCACUGUGGCAUGUGUGUGACAGUGGCUGGCAAUGUCGUCUUUUAGACUUUGGGUAUGUGAGUGUCCUGAAACUGUCACCCAGUGUCUUCUCUUUUCUUUCAGAUUUAUUUAUCUAAUAUAUGUGAGUACACUGUAGCUGUCUUCAGACACACCAGAAGAGGGAAUCAGAUCUCAUUACAGAUGGGGUUGCUGGGAUUUGAACUCUAGACCUCCGGAAGAGCAAUCAGUGCUCUUAACCACUGAGCCAUCUCUCCAGCUCCACCCAGUGGGUUUUCAAGAAAGCCAAGUUUUGGACUCACUCUUCUAUUGGAGAGAAGUAUGGUUGGCUAAGUUUAUUUAAUCUUAGUGACUUAUUUAUUCGAGGUGUAUCUUUAUCUAAACAAUCACUCAUCUCCGUAAGCUCUGUAAAUUUGCUGCCUGAGAAAUAAAUUGGAAAUGACUUAAGCAUGGAUUAUAUUGUAGCAAGCAAGUUGCUAUGUCUCUGCCAACUCUGUUUACAGAAGGGAAGGUUGCAACAGGAGGAAGAAACGUAAGAUGGUAGGUAAUGUGGAUUCUGAGAGGAACGCCAAGUUUGCUGUGUUCUUUUCCCAUCCUCAGUUAGCCCGGAUCACCAUUUUGUAGGAGGAGCUGAGAGGAAGAAUGGCUGUCAGACUUCAUAAAGCCGUGCACCGGGGUCUGACUGCGUAGACCAUGUAGGCCUUAAAUUCACGAUGUACCACCUGCUCCAGCCUCAUGACUGCUGGCAUUAAAGCUACCGUUCCACAGGGGAGCUGGGCCCGUUCUACCUGCAGACAGAGCUAGAACCAGACUACUUUCCACUGACCACACCACUUCCUUCCCAUGUUGAACUGUCAUCUCCCACGUGCAUCGUGGCUACAGUCGACCAACUUGGCUCUCGGCUUUCAAUCUGCUUCAUCCCUGCUCUGACAGCAUUAGGCUUCUUAAACUUGAAAUUCUCCUGCCACACACCAUGCCCAGCUGCCUGCAACAUUUCCAUCACUGUUGGUUGACUCUACAUGUGGAAAGGCUAAGUCCAUUAUCAUCAUUUGUUAUGGGACAAAUUAAUUGUGAAUUUGGGAUUUAAAUGCUACAUUUUUUAAAAAAUGUAGCGCUGGCCAGGCAGUGGUGGCACACACCUUUAAUCCCAGCACUUGGGAGGCAGAGGUGGGCGGAUUUUUCU